ACCCCUUCCUUUUCUUUUCCGCUGACAGAAGCCGUAAGCAUCUUGCUGCUGCGCGACUGCGCGAGUGCUCGUCUCUCCUUGUCCUCCUACUACAGUCGUCGUCGUCUCUCUCCAGGGACACACAUCCGCCAUCACCUUUGCUUCUUCGAUUCGCAAGGAGCACGAGUACUCAUGGAGCAGGGACAGGGGUGGAGGAGGCGGCAGAUCCCGGCGUUCGGGAGGUGGAACCAGCAUACCGACGAGGCGGGGUACUUGGAGUCGGCGGUGCAGGCUGGCCUCGUCAGGCCCGGCCACUGCUACCACGACGACGGCGGCAACGAGGUUGUGCUGUUCAGGUCCUCCGCCUCGCCGCCUCCGCACAAGCCAGCCAAGAAGGUGCGAAGCACGAUGGAGGGUCACGGUC
rnacentral:misc_RNA from 1 species